UACAGAGGUCUCAAGCGUUGUUCGGAUUCAUUGGGCGUAAAGGGUGCGUAGGUGGCGGGGUAAGUCAGGUGUGAAAUUUCGGAGCUUAACUCCGAAACUGCAUUUGAUACUGCCUUGCUUGAGGACUGGAGAGGAGACUGGAAUUCACGGUGUAGCAGUGAAAUGCGUAGAUAUCGUGAGGAAGACCAGUGGCGAAGGCGGGUCUCUGGACAGUUCCUGACACUGAGGCACGAAGGCCAGGGGAGCAAACCGGGG
rnacentral:rRNA from 1 species